CUGAGUGCUCUCUGCCCAGCUCCCUUGCGCUGCUUACUGAUGCCGGAGCCGGAAGAUGAUGUCAUAGACGGCUCCGGCAUCAGUAGGCAGCGCGAGGGAGCUGGACAGAGAGCACUCAG